rnacentral:rRNA from 1 species
ACGAACGCUGGCGGCGUGCUUAACACAUGCAAGUCGAACGAAGAGCGAUGGAAGCUUGCUUCUAUCAAUCUUAGUGGCGAACGGGUGAGUAACGCGUAAUCAACCUGCCCUUCAGAGGGGGACAACAGUUGGAAACGACUGCUAAUACCGCAUACGAUCUAACCUCGGCAUCGAGGAUAGAUGAAAGGUGGCCUCUACAUGUAAGCUAUCACUGAAGGAGGGGAUUGCGUCUGAUUAGCUAGUUGGAGGGGUAACGGCCCACCAAGGCGAUGAUCAGUAGCCGGUCUGAGAGGAUGAACGGCCACAUUGGGACUGAGACACGGCCCAGACUCCUACGGGAGGCAGCAGUGGGGAAUCUUCCGCAAUGGACGAAAGUCUGACGGAGCAACGCCGCGUGAGUGAUGACGGCCUUCGGGUUGGAAAGCUCUGUUAAUCGGGACGAAAGGCCUUCUUGCGAAUAGUGAGAAGGAUUGACGGUACCGGAAUAGAAAGCCACGGCUAACUACGUG